rnacentral:rRNA from 1 species
GAACAUCAGAGUUUGAUCCUGGCUCAGGACGAACGCUGGCGGCGUGCUUAACACAUGCAAGUCGAGCGGACGGAGGAGCUUCGGCUCCAAAGUUAGCGGCGGACGGGUGAGUAACGCGUGAACAAUCUGUCCCAUACAGGGGGAUAACACAUCGAAAGGUGUGCUAAUACCGCAUAAGACCACAGUGCCGCAUGGCACAGGGGUAAAAGAACGGAAUCGGUAUGGGGUGAGUUCGCGUCUGAUUAGCUGGUUGGUGAGGUAACGGCCCACCAAGGCGACGAUCAGUAGCCGAUCUGAGAGGAUG